rnacentral:rRNA from 1 species
UACGAAGGGGGCUAGCGUUGUUCGGAAUCACUGGGCGUAAAGCGCGCGUAGGCGGUUUUGCAAGCCAGAGGUGAAAUGCCUGAGCUCAACUUAGGAAUUGCCUUUGGGACUGCGAGGCUUUGAGGACUGGAGAGGUGAGUGGAAUUCCCAAUGUAGAGGUGAAAUUCGUAGAUAUUGGGAAGAACACCGGUGGCGAAGGCGGCUCACUGGCCAGUUUCUGACGCUGCAGCGCGAAAGCGUGGGGAUCAAACAGG